GAUGAACGCUGGCGGCGUGCCUAAUACAUGCAAGUCGAGCGAACAGACGAGGAGCUUGCUCCUCUGACGUUAGCGGCGGACGGGUGAGUAACACGUGGAUAACCUACCUAUAAGACUGGGAUAACUUCGGGAAACCGGAGCUAAUACCGGAUAAUAUAUUGAACCGCAUGGUUCAAUAGUGAAAGACGGUUUUGCUGUCGCUUAUAGAUGGAUCCGCGCCGCAUUAGCUAGUCGGUAAGGUAACGGCUUACCAAGGCAACGAUGCGUAGCCGACCUGAGAGGGUGAUCGGCCACACUGGAACUGAGACACGGUCCAGACUCCUACGGGAGGCAGCAGUAGGGAAUCUUCCGCAAUGGGCGAAAGCUUGACGGAGCAACGCCGCGUGAGUGAUGAAGGUCUUCGGAUCGUAAAACUCUGUUAUUAGGGAAGAACAAAUGUGUAAGUAACUAUGCACGUCUUGACGGUACCUAAUCAGAAAGCCACGGCUAACUACGUG
rnacentral:rRNA from 1 species